AACCGACACAGGUGGUCAGCUAGAGAAUACCAAGGCGCUUGAGAGAACUCGGGUGAAGGAACUAGGCAAAAUGGUGCCGUAACUUCGGGAGAAGGCACGCUGACACGUAGGUGAAGUGAUUUACUCACGGAGCUGAAGUCAGUCGAAGAUACCAGCUGGCUGCAACUGUUUAUUAAAAACACAGCACUGUGCAAACACGAAAGUGGACGUAUACGGUGUGACGCCUGCCCGGU
rnacentral:rRNA from 1 species